GACGAACGCUGGCGGCGUGCCUAAUACAUGCAAGUAGAACGCUGAAGGAGGAGCUUGCUUCUCUGGAUGAGUUGCGAACGGGUGAGUAACGCGUAGGUAACCUGCCUGGUAGCGGGGGAUAACUAUUGGAAACGAUAGCUAAUACCGCAUAAGAGUAGAUGUUGCAUGACAUUUGCUUAAAAGGUGCAAUUGCAUCACUACCAGAUGGACCUGCGUUGUAUUAGCUAGUUGGUGGGGUAACGGCUCACCAAGGCGACGAUACAUAGCCGACCUAAGAGGGUGAUCGGCCACACUGGGACUGAGACACGGCCCAGACUCCUACGGGAGGCAGCAGUAGGGAAUCUUCGGCAAUGGACGGAAGUCUGACCGAGCAACGCCGCGUGAGUGAAGAAGGUUUUCGGAUCGUAAAGCUCUGUUGUAAGAGAAGAACGAGUGUGAGAGUGGAAAGUUCACACUGUGACGGUAUCUUACCAGAAAGGGACGGCUAACUACGUG
rnacentral:rRNA from 1 species